rnacentral:sRNA from 1 species
GUGUGUGUGUGUGUGUGUACUGUCAUGGUUAUUUUGUAUAAGACUGUAAAUUUCAUCUUGACAGCAAAUUCUAUGCAUCCAUUUCCUUGCUGAAACACGUUUCCAUAUGGACACAACAGUGAGCACGGGGCAGCCUGUGGGUCACAUAGAGAAGAAGCUAAGAGUUGUAGCCCAGCAGCUUACAAGGGACUUGGAGGGAGAUUUUUCUAGAGUUGAGCUUCUGAUGAGAUUCUGAACCUGGCUGACACUCUGACUGCAGCCUUGGGAAGGAUCCAGAGCAGAGCAUCCAAUUACAUCGCACCUUAAAUUCCCGACUUACAGAUAUGUGUGAUGUUUAAGCUACUGUCUUUGUGGUGGCUUGUUAGGGAGCAAAAGCCAAGUAACAUUCUCCUCAGUGAUACAAAUGGGGCCACAUCCCAAAGAAAGGAACAGAGACUGGAACAGGUGAGCGUGGUGAUGCAGGCUUGCAAUGCCAGGCUCAAGAGCCAGAGGCAGCGGGAUCUGGAAUUCAGGGUCAACCUGAGCCAAAUACCAAGUCCUUGUUUGGGCUGGGAAUGCAGCCCAGCAUAUCAAAGCCCAGGGCUCAACCCCUAGCACUGCAAAAGAAGGUGGAGAAGAUGGAGGAGGAGAAAGAAAAAGAUACAAAAGACAGAAGAGAGCAUCAGUUUGGAUAACUGUGGACUCUAGAUUUUCGUUCCUGAUAAGGCCUCACUACGUUGCUCAGGUUGGACUCUCUAUGGAGAUCUUCCUGUCUCAGCUUCCUGAGCGGUUUGGACUACAGUGUACAUACCAUCCAUGUGGUGUGGGUUUGAGGAGGAGAAGUCCUCCAUCAAAAAAGACACAGGACCAGCUACAUCAUUCUCGCAAAAUGGAAGUGCAGUCUUCAGCUCAGAAGUCACCGGCAACGUUUACACAGAGACAACUGAACACAAGACCCUCCUGACGUGCUUUUGAGGCCUUCUAGCCAAAAAAGGCAGCCCUGUCAGCCAAAGGUGCUGAAAGCUUCUUAGGGGGCAAAAGAUGAGACCUUCUUGUCCUCUGCGUCCCCCACUGAGAUGAUUGCCGUUUGACACCAGUGACAAGUGUCCCAUAAUUACAGGCAUCGUGUAUGAAUAAAGACUAUAUCACAUUGUGUUUUGUUAAAUUAUACUUGUACACCUGGGCGGGGCGAGAAAAUUAUACCGCCACUUCUCCUCUCUCUGAUGCAGUUUGCCUUUAAAAAUAUUUGCUGUCCAACCUGUUUUGUUUCUGUGCAUGCAGCAUUUCUUCUCCACUAUUUCAACAAACCACUUAAAAUCUGAUCUGAAAAUAAAAAAUAUUAAAGCAUGUGUCUCAAAUGGAUGGGGUGGGGGGAAGCACCAGCUAUGACUAAUGCCUUCAAUUUAUAGUAUAUCCAAUUUGGAGAAAACCAUGCUUUUUCAUAAGGUUGCAUAACUGCUAACAAAAACAUUUUCAGCCCCAGGAUGUUUUUUGUGGGGAGGGGUGAGUUAGCCUUUCACUGACUAGGAAAAAUGUAAAAAUCGAGGGCACAGCUUUUCUUGGUAUACAUUUGCCCUACACAGAGACAGGCACUCGAGUGCAUGUCAAAUUCAUGUACUCUCCUCAUAUAAUGUGAGGUGGAGGGCAGAGAGUCAAUUGGCCCAUUCUCAGUAAGAGUUGUUCAUUCUAAUUCUGGCUAGCCAUCCUUGUGAACAAUGUCGGUAUUGCCAACUAUUAAUCAAGCAUGCCAGCUAUCAGCCUCAAGAAUGAUCAAAGGGCAUGAGUGAGGGAUGAUGUCACAUAUAUCCCUAUACCUAUCCGCUCUGGAUUAAAUAAACAGGCCUGUAUAUUAUAUACUUCCUAAUAUUGGUUGUUACAGUCCUUUGGAAGCAGAAUAGUCUCUCAAAUGAACCAGUAAUGCUAGAACUCUAGUUUAUUGACUACAGACAUACAAGGAAGUAAAGCAGGUUGAACUGGUGAAUACCUGAAGCUUAUGUUGUGUUUAGUAGUCUUUUCCAUUGUUGGGAAUGCGGAUGUAACAUCUAAGCUAGGAUCGACGUGUCAAAUGAGUGCUAGGGCUAGGGAUGUAACUCAGUUGGUAGAGUGCUUGUCUAACAUGUACAAAGCCUUGGUCCUACCACAUAAACCAGGGAUAGUGGUGCUUGCCUAUAUUCCCAGUACUCAGGAGGUAGAAAAAGAGGGUCAGCAGUUCACCACCUCAAGCUGUUGGUCAAGAAUGUAGACUAUUGCUGCUGUCCUUUGUUGCCUCCCAGAAGUUGAAGGUAAAUCCCUUUUGCUGAAGGCAGCACCUGAGGUGCUAUACAAGCUACCCAGAGAAGAAAGCAUUCAAUAGCCCUUCCCAACUGUGACAAGUAUAAACCAUAACAAUGAUCAGCACGGCAAGCUGUCCCUAAAAGUGCAACAGUGGAACUUCUAUCUUGGUGGUAACCAAUGGCUCUCUAGUUGGUCUUAAGGCCUUCUCGACAGGAGAGAAACUGUGCCUGUUACUCUAAACCUAGUCAACCGUCUGUGGUCAGUGAGGUUGUAGAUCUCAGAGGAGAAUGUCACUUUUCCAAACCAGUAUAUAAUUCCUAACUGCAUUCUAACUACUCAUCCUUAUGCCUGCAUGGAGUGUAGGUCUCACCCCACAUCAAAGGAAGCUUCUUUUCACAGCAGACGGAGACCAUUCCAGAAAGCCACAAUUAGUCAGAAUGCAGAGCACAAUUGACUGUGGGUGCCUAACCCCAAUUAAUAUCUCUAUGCUAUACCCCUACCCUCAAGGCACGAGGAACAUAGCAGAGGAUGGGGCAGAACGACUGUAACAGCCAGAGAACCAGGAAGUCCACUGAGAGAUUGAAUCUUUUCGAUCUGACAUGGAAGUUGCACCCAUGAAAUCACAACAAUAUGGUAGUUUAAACAAGACAAUGACAAUUGACAUGCCAACGUAGAUGGGGAAAUGACACAGGACCCCACCCCUAGAGGAUGAUCUAGAGGUAAUUAAAGACUGCUAAGAGAGCUCCCUCUCUCUUCCCUCCAAAUCGUUAUCCAAUCACAAGUCCCCAGUCCUGAAAAAAUACACAAACAAGCAACACAAAGCAGAUCCAGCAAUUUCCAUUUUCAUAUUUAUUCACGUAUGUAACAAUAAAUAAACAGUAGGAGGCCAUGAAUUUGAAAGGGAAUCAGAAGGGUAACAUAGGAGAGGUUGGAAGGAAGCGAGGGAAAUGAUGCAAUUAUGUUUUAAUUAAAUAAAAAAGUUCAAGAUCAACCUUGGCUACAUAAUGAGUUGGAGGCCAGCCUGGAAUACAUGGGAUUGUCUCAGGGGAAGAAAUGAACCGAACAAAGGAUGUAUAAUUUCAGUCGCACAAAAACAAAAGUCUUUAAAAUUCAUGAACUAUCACAUCGAUAAUCCAGUAGAAAGGUUUAAAACUUUCAGUUGCAUAAGAGUUCAAAUUAUUUAUUUUUUAAGAGUACAAAAAAAAAAAAAAAAAAACCCUGAAAGUAAUCUGACCCUGUUGUCUCUGCCAAGAACGAACUUUAAGUUGUAAACAUGUACUUUGUUUCUUCUCUUAUGGAUUCAUUUUGCUGCCGAAGUGAGAUAUGAGAAUCAAGAUCUGUAAAGUAGGGUUUUUAAUCAGAAGGGGAAAAAAUGUUUUUUGAGGACAAGAAUGAAUCCUAACACUUUAAUUACAAGUUCAGUGGAAAGUUUGGGGAAAUGUGAGAUUGAACAUUGUUAUGCUGUCAUUAAGAAUUAAUGACUGUAAAGGAAAUCAGUUUAUAGCCGAAAUGGUAAAUUACAUCGAAAACUUAUAGAACUGCUAUUUCUUGAUAGCCAAGAAUAUUCAUCAUAAUUCACUUGAGUUAAAAAAUCCAAAUGGUAGAAAAUUGAUAAAGAGACAUGAUUUUUUUAAAAAUGGCAUUAUACUAACCCUAGGCAGAUUUUCUUAGCAAUUCCAAUCAUGUUCAGUAUAAUGCCACUUGUAAUAAGAAAAAGGCAGAAGAGCAGUUGGA